GAUGAACGCUGGCGGCGUGCUUAACACAUGCAAGUCGAACGGAAAGGCCAGUGCUUGCACUGGUACUCGAGUGGCGAACGGGUGAGUAACACGUGGGUGAUCUGCCCUGCACUUCGGGAUAAGCCUGGGAAACUGGGUCUAAUACCGGAUAGGACAAUGGUUUGGAUGCCGUUGUGGAAAGUUUUUUCGGUGUGGGAUGAGCUCGCGGCCUAUCAGCUUGUUGGUGGGGUAAUGGCCUACCAAGGCGUCGACGGGUAGCCGGCCUGAGAGGGUGUACGGCCACAUUGGGACUGAGAGACGGCCCAGACUCCUACGGGAGGCAGCAGUGGGGAAUAUUGCACAAUGGGCGCAAGCCUGAGGCAGCGACGCCGCGUGGGGGAUGACGGCCUUCGGGUUGUAAACUCCUUUCGCUAGGGACGAAGCGUAUUUGUGACGGUACCUGGAGAAGAAGCACCGGCUAACUACGUG
rnacentral:rRNA from 1 species